rnacentral:tRNA from 1 species
GAGGAUAUAGCUCAGUGGUAGAUUGCAUGCCUAGCAUGCAGGAGGUCCUGGGUUCAAUCUCCAGUACCUCCA